AGCACCAAAGACACUCAAGCCUUGUCUACACUGGUAAGUUUCUGCGCAGUAAAGCACGUUUCUGCGUUGUAACUCCUGAAGUGUACGCACUGCCAAGCCAUGUAGUGCACAGAAACUGCAGUUGCAGUGCUGUAAAAAAACCCACCCCAAUGAGAGGUGUACAGCUUUCUGCGGUAGGGGUACAGUGCCACAGUGCCGGUGUAGACACCCUGGUCGAUUACAGCGC